AAAAUUUCAGUAGGAUGAUUCAUAACAAAAACAAACACACAUAAAAAUAGUGCAAGGAUGGGAGAAGAGAGAAAGCUCGUGGGAGAGUGAAGAGAAGCAAGGGAAGGAAGAGUUUAACCUCAAUAUAGGGAAUUCACUGCAAUCCAAAUUUUCAGGUAGGAGAUGAAUCAUAGCUGAUGUGUUCGGAUAGUUGUUGUUUUGCUAUUUAUUUGGAGUCGCUUUGUUAGGAUGUUGUUGGGGAGAAACUUAUUUAAUUAUGCUACUAAUUCUUUAUUAACAAUUGGACUAAGUCAAUUGAUUAAGUAUUUUCAAUUCGGACCUUGAAACAUAUAUUAUUUUGGUUUAA